AACGAACGCUGGCGGCGCGCUUAACACAUGCAAGUCGAACGAGAAGGCGUAGCAAUACGCUUGUACAGUGGCGAACGGGUGAGUAAUACGUGGGCGACCCUACCUCGAGUGGGGAAUAACCCGCCGAAGGCGGGCUAAUGCCGCGUACGCUUCCAUCUUUAUGGAGGUGGAAGGAAAGCCGUGCCGUGGGCACGGCGCUCAAGGAUGGGCUCACGUCCUAUCAGCUUGUUGGUAGGGAACGGCCUACCAAGGCUCCGACGGGUAGCUGGUCUGAGAGGACGAUCAGCCACACUGGCACUGCGACACGGGCCAGACUCCUACGGGAGGCAGCAGUGAGGAAUAUUGCGCAAUGGGCGAAAGCCUGACGCAGCGACGCCGCGUGAGGGAUGACGG
rnacentral:rRNA from 1 species